rnacentral:rRNA from 1 species
UACGUAGGGAGCAAGCGUUGUCCGGAAUCAUUGGGCGUAAAGCGCGUGUAGGCGGCUUGAUAAGUCUGCUCUGAAAGCCCGGGGCUCAACCCUGGGAGGCGGGUGGAUACUGUCGAGCUCGAGUCCGGAAGAGGCGAGUGGAAUUCCUGGUGUAGCGGUGAAAUGCGCAGAUAUCAGGAAGAACACCCGUGGCGAAGGCGGUUCUCUGGGACGGUACUGACGCUGAGACGCGAAAGCGUGGGGAGCGGAACGG